rnacentral:lncRNA from 1 species
UAUAUAUCUCCUUCUUUAUGGACUAUAAACCACCACAUUAGCCUAGCCUAUAAACAAAUUAGUAGUAUGAUCCUCAGAAUAACUUAUGUGGAAUAAUAUAAUCAAUGUUAUUUAUAAGAAAGGAAGAACACAUGCCAUGAUCUAAGCGUUGUGUAUAUUUAGACAAAGGAAAGAAGAAACAAGAUUUCACGUUCAUUAGUACAUGUACAUCGACGUAAACAGAAGCAAAAUAAAACGAAGGAUAAAACAAAGAGAUGCAGGGACAAGCAUGUGCN